CCAGACUCCUACGGGAGGCAGCAGUGGGGAAUAUUGCACAAUGGGCGAAAGCCUGAUGCAGCGACGCCGCGUGAGGGAUGACGGCCUUCGGGUUGUAAACCUCUUUCAGUAGGGAAGAAGCGAAAGUGACGGUACCUGCAGAAGAAGCGCCGGCUAACUACGUGCCAGCAGCCGCGGUAAUACGUAGGGCGCAAGCGUUAUCCGGAAUUAUUGGGCGUAAAGAGCUCGUAGGCGGUUUGUCGCGUCUGCCGUGAAAGUCCGGGGCUCAACUCCGGAUCUGCGGUGGGUACGGGCAGACUAGAGUGAUGUAGGGGAGACUGGAAUUCCUGGUGUAGCGGUGAAAUGCGCAGAUAUCAGGAGGAACACCGAUGGCGAAGGCAGGUCUCUGGGCAUUAACUGACGCUGAGGAGCGAAAGCAUGGGGAGCGAACAGGAUUAGAUACCCUGGUAGUCCAUGCCGUAAACGUUGGGCACUAGGUGUGGGGGACAUUCCACGUUUUCCGCGCCGUAGCUAACGCAUUAAGUGCCCCGCCUGGGGAGUACGGCCGCAAGGCUAAAACUCAAAGGAAUUGACGGGG
rnacentral:rRNA from 1 species